AUUGAACGCUGGCGGCGUGCUUAACACAUGCAAGUCGAUCGGUAACAGGUGUAGCAAUACAUGCUGACGAGAGGCGGACGGGUGAGUAAUGCUUGGGAAUCUGCCUAUUAGUGGGGGACAACCCGGGGAAACUCGGGCUAAUACCGCAUACGCUCUACGGAGGAAAGCCGGGGACCGCAAGGCCUGGCGCUAAUAGAUGAGCCCAAGUCGGAUUAGCUAGUUGGUAGGGUAACGGCCACCAAGGCGACAAUCCGUAGCUGGUCUGAGAGGACGACCAGCCACACCGGAACUGAGACACGGUCCGGACCCCUACGGA
rnacentral:rRNA from 1 species